UCAAACUUGGUCAUUUAGAGGAAGUAAAAGUCGUAACAAGGUCUCCGUAGGUGAACCUGCGGAGGGAUCAUUACCGAGUGAGGGCCCCGGCCCGACCUCCAACCCAAUGUUUCUAUCACCUCGUUGCCUCGGGGGCGACCCGGCAUCCGGGCCCCCCGGUGGACCAGCCCAACUCGAUUUUGGAAUGCGUCUGAGUGAAGAUUUUAAAUGAAGCAAAACUUUCAACAACGGAUCUCUUGGUUCUGGCAUCGAUGAAGAACGCAGC
rnacentral:misc_RNA from 1 species